rnacentral:rRNA from 1 species
CGUGGGUAACCUGCCCAAGAGACUGGGAUAACACCUGGAAACAGAUGCUAAUACCGGAUAACAACACUAGACGCAUGUCUAGAGUUUAAAAGAUGGUUCUGCUAUCACUCUUGGAUGGACCUGCGGUGCAUUAGCUAGUUGGUAAGGUAACGGCUUACCAAGGCAAUGAUGCAUAGCCGAGUUGAGAGACUGAUCGGCCACAUUGGGACUGAGAACACGGCCCAAACUCCUACGGGAGGCAGCAGGC